UGAAUUCCUACAACUACAAUUUAAAAUACUUAUACUUAUACUAAAAAUCCUUAUCACAGUUUGCUAUCACAGAUAGAUAUUGAAAAUUUCAAGUUACUAGCGUAGACGAACUAUAGUAGACGAACACAGAACAAAUUUGAAUUGGCUCAAACCGAACAAUUCUUAAAGCUGUUUUCACGCCCAAACGGAGUUUCGUGAUCUGCUAAAAGAAGUCGGAAAGGCCAAUUUGUUCUCGGAACACAUUU